GGAAGGACGUGGACGAGAUGUCCGGACGGAAGGCGUCGAUGAUGUGCUCGCGGUUGUUCUGGUCCAGCAGCAUCAGCGUCACCUGAAGGACAACAUCGACCCAAGUCGUUUGGUUUCUGGGACAUUCGGGACUAAGAAGCUGUGUGCUUUGGUGAAAUACCAACUGGAGACUUGUCUGAAACUUAAAGGUCAAGAAUUGAGAAGACUGGAAGUCCUUCGACGAUCCUACCUUCUGGCUAAAGGGCCACUUGAGCAGCGCGUCGCAGCCCCCCCGCAUGACCACGAAGAAGAGCGACAGGUGCGUCCCCCGCCCCGUGCCGUCGCCGUUCAGGUACAAACGCAGGCACAUUUUGUAGCCAUACUUGCUGGAGUAGAACGCUGAUGACAGACAAGAUGAAACGUGAUAGUCAGCCUUAAAGGAUGCCUCUGGAAUGCUCCCCGAAGGACACGGAGGGGGGAGGGACGCUGCUGGAAAUUCCCCGUGUCCACCGGGGGUCAUUUAAGACGCUAACGUGGCAACCGUUGAGCCAAAGUGAGAAACAACUUUGAGUUUUGACAGCUGAGG